rnacentral:rRNA from 1 species
GAUGAACGCUAGCGGCAGGCUUAACACAUGCAAGUCGAGGGGUAUUGGUUUUCGGACCAAGAGACCGGCGCACGGGUGCGUAACGCGUAUGCAAUCUACCUUUUGCAGAGGGAUAGCCCAGAGAAAUUUGGAUUAAUACCUCAUAGUAUAGUACUUUGGCAUCAAGGAACUAUUAAAGUCACAACGGCAAAGAUGAGCAUGCGUCCCAUUAGCUAGUUGGUAAGGUAACGGCUUACCAAGGCUACGAUGGGUAGGGGUUCUGAGAGGGAGAUCCCCCACACUGGUACUGAGACACGGACCAGACUCCUACGGGAGGCAGCAGUGAGGAAUAUUGGGCAAUGGGCGCAAGCCUGAUCCAGCAUGCCGCGUGCAGGAUGACGGUCCUAUGGAUU